GGGAGCCGAGGUGAGCUCAAUGGAAACUGCUACGGCCAAUUCUCCCAGUGGAGGAAGAGCUAACGGAGUCUCAGCCAGGAUGCUGCGAAGCAAAAGUGAAAUGUACCAUCUGAAUAACUCUGCGUAUGGACCACUUCGACAAGGAAUUCCACACCCGCAAAGCAACCCCAGCACAGUGGGACUGAACAAAUACACUUCCCUUAAAGCUGUGGCUGACAGUGCAUCUCGAAGCUACUACAAGAGUUUCCCUCUCAUGGACUUCUCUCAGUACCAGCCCGUAGCCCCCCUUGCUGCCCCGCCAAUGCCACCGAAAGAGAAAUCCUACAUACACCAUCACCACACUCCACAUCACGACAUACAUUCCCCCCUGUCCAUCUCUAUUCCCUCUGGCCACUUUGAACACUCACGAAUCCCCAAGACGACCACAGAUCCCUUUCUGGCCAGCUCGGCCUUCAAAGCGUGGGAACCAAAUAACCGGCACGUUCAGAGGCAAACCUCCGCCCCGGGACAGACCUCGUCUUCAGUGCACGGCUCAAACCGGAGACACGGCUACUCCACCCGCAGGC
rnacentral:lncRNA from 1 species